UUACGGCGAUAUCACGUUGAAACAUCAGUUCGCGUACAAUCACCGAAGUUAAGCAACGUCGAGUCUGGUUAGUACCUAGAUGUGUGUCCACUUGGAAAUACCAGGGGCUGUAAG